rnacentral:rRNA from 1 species
UGAGGAAUAUUGGUCAAUGGGCGCAAGCCUGAACCAGCCAUCCCGCGUGCAGGAAGACGGCCCUAUGGGUUGUAAACUGCUUUUCCAGGGGGAGAAACUUGCGCACGUGUUGCGCAAUUGACGGUACCCUGGGAAUAAGCAUCGGCUAACUCCGUGCCAGCAGCCGCGGUAAUACGGAGGAUGCGAGCGUUAUCCGGAUUCAUUGGGUUUAAAGGGUGCGUAGGCGGACUAUUAAGUCAGUGGUGAAAUCCUGCAGCUUAACUGCAGAACGGCCAUGGAUACUGAGAGCCUUGAGUUUGGUUAAGGUAGGCGGAAUGUGUAAUGUAGCGGUGAAAUGCUUAGAUAUUACACAGAACACCAAUUGCGUAGGCAGCUUACUGAGCCGACACUGACGCUGAGGCACGAAAGCGUGGGGAUCGAACA